rnacentral:misc_RNA from 1 species
GAAAUGCGAUAAGUAGUGUGAAUUGCAGAAUUCAGUGAAUCAUCGAAUCUUUGAACGCACAUUGCGCUCCCUGGCAUUCCGGGGAGCAUGCCCGUUUCAGAAUCAUUAAAAACAUCUCACCACUCUGGUGGUGGAUGAUGGACAGUUUGGACUUGCAAAAGUUCAAUUGUCUGAAAAUGAUUGUGCGCGCUCCGGCUGUUGUCGGUUAGCUCUAAAGGUGCAACAAGAUUAACAUCUAUUCGCCUCUAUGAGUUGGCCAUAUAUGACGAAGGUGUUGUGUACUCCCUUUAUUAACCGUGCUGUGUAGCCUAGCUGCAUGGCUCGUUAACUUGGUCUGAAAUCGGGCAAGAAAACCCGCUGAACUUAA